AAAGCAAUUCCAUAGACGAGUAUGAAUGUGGUGCACGUUCUUGUUAUGUCAUUUCGUGACUAGAUACAUACUCGUCUACGGUAUCUGUCU
rfam:Harpegnathos saltator strain R22 G/1 HarSal_1.0_2.contig6353, whole genome shotgun sequence.